rnacentral:rRNA from 1 species
CAGUAGCCGCGGUAAUACGAAGGGUGCAAGCGUUACUCGGAAUUACCGGGCGUAAAGCGUGCGUAGGUGGUGGUUUAAGUCCGUUGUGAAAGCCCUGGGCUCAACCUGGGAAUUGCAGUGGAUACUGGGUCACUAGAGUGUGGUAGAGGAUAGUGGAAUUUCCGGUGUAGCAGUGAAAUGCGUAGAGAUCGGAAGGAACAUCUGUGGCGAAGGCGACUAUCUGGGCCAACACUGACACUGAGGCACGAAAGCGUGGGGAGCAAACAGGAUUAGAUACCCCUGUAGUCCCUGUCUCUUAUAC